GUUCGAUUUCUGAUGCUAAAUGAACUUAUAUAUGUUGAUCCUGUAAAUGCAUUUUAUCAUUUGGUGCAAUGGUUCUUUAUUCCAAAAAUAAUAUAAUAAAUCAUAAUUUGGUGCUUUUGAUAAAGAGACUAGCUAUAUAUGUACAAUCUUUUUUCCCCCUUCCCAGCUUGUCCUCUAUUCUUAGAAGCUAGUUUUAGAGCUUUUCAGCAAUAAUGAAAAUUUGCACUUUCUUCUUUUAAAACUAUUUGGUCCAUAAUGCAGAAGUGAAAAUUUCG
rnacentral:misc_RNA from 1 species